rnacentral:rRNA from 1 species
UACGUAGGGGGCAAGCGUUGUCCGGAUUUAUUGGGCGUAAAGAGCGUGUAGGCGGCUUUACAGGUCCGUUGUGAAAACUCGAGGCUCAACCUCGAGACGCCGGUGGAAACCGUAAAGCUAGAGUCCGGAAGAGGAGAGUGGAAUUCCCGGUGUAGCGGUGAAAUGCGCAGAUAUCGGGAAGAACACCCGUGGCGAAGGCGGCUCUCUGGACCGAUACUGACGCUGAGGCGCGAAAGCGUGGGGAGCAAACAGG